CCUACGGGGGGCAGCAGUGGGGAAUAUUGGACAAUGGGGGCAACCCUGAUCCAGCCAUGCCGCGUGUGUGAAGAAGGCCCUCGGGUUGUAAAGCACUUUCAGUGAGGAAGAACGCCUGGUGGUUAAUACCCAUCAGGAAAGACAUCACUCACAGAAGAAGCACCGGCUAACUCCGUGCCAGCAGCCGCGGUAAUACGGAGGGUGCGAGCGUUAAUCGGAAUUACUGGGCGUAAAGCGCGCGUAGGUGGCUUGAUAAGCCGGUUGUGAAAGCCCCGGGCUCAACCUGGGAACGGCAUCCGGAACUGUCAAGCUAGAGUGCAGGAGAGGAAGGUAGAAUUCCCGGUGUAGCGGUGAAAUGCGUAGAGAUCGGGAGGAAUACCAGUGGCGAAGGCGGCCUUCUGGACUGACACUGACACUGAGGUGCGAAAGCGUGGGUAGCAAACAGGAUUAGAUACCCCGGUAGUA
rnacentral:rRNA from 1 species